rnacentral:rRNA from 1 species
UACGGAGGGUGCAAGCGUUGUCCGGAAUCACUGGGCGUAAAGGGCGCGUAGGCGGCUCAUGAAGGCUGUGGUGAAAGUCCGGGGCUCAACCUCGGAUCGGCCGUGGCGACUCGUGGGCAUGGAGCACUGUAGAGGCGGGUGGAAUUCCGGGUGUAGCGGUGGAAUGCGUAGAGAUCCGGAAGAACACCAGUGGCGAAGGCGGCCCGCUGGGCAGUGGCUGACGCUGAGGCGCGACAGCGUGGGGAGCAAACAGG